UACGGAGGGGGUUAGCGUUGUUCGGAAUUACUGGGCGUAAAGCGCGCGUAGGCGGACCAGAAAGUUGGGGGUGAAAUCCCGGGGCUCAACCCCGGAACGGCCUCCAAAACUCCUGGUCUUGAGUUCGAGAGAGGUGAGUGGAAUUCCGAGUGUAGAGGUGAAAUUCGUAGAUAUUCGGAGGAACACCAGUGGCGAAGGCGGCUCACUGGCUCGAUACUGGCGCUGAGGUGCGAAAGUGUGGGGAGCAAACAGG
rnacentral:rRNA from 1 species